rnacentral:rRNA from 1 species
UACGUAGGGUGCAAGCGUUGUCCGGAAUUAUUGGGCGUAAAGAGCUCGUAGGCGGUUUGUCGCGUCUGCUGUGAAAACUCGGGGCUUAACCCCGGGCCUGCAGUGGGUACGGGCAGACUAGAGUGCGGUAGGGGAGACUGGAAUUCCUGGUGUAGCGGUGAAAUGCGCAGAUAUCAAGAGGAACACCGGUGGCGAAGGCGGGUCUCUGGGCCGUAACUGACGCUGAGGAGCGAAAGCGUGGGGAGCGAACAGG